AGUGAACGCUGGCGGUAGGCCUAACACAUGCAAGUCGAACGGCAGCACAGUAAGAGCUUGCUCUUACGGGUGGCGAGUGGCGGACGGGUGAGGAAUACAUCGGAAUCUACUUUUUCGUGGGGGAUAACGUAGGGAAACUUACGCUAAUACCGCAUACGACCUACGGGUGAAAGCGUGGGAUCUUCUGACCUUGCGCGAUUGAAUGAGCCGAUGUCGGAUUAGCUAGUUGGCGGGGUAAAGGCCCACCAAGGCGACGAUACGUAGCUGGUCUGAGAGGAUGAUCAGCCACACUGGAACUGAGACACGGUCCAGACUCCUACGGGAGGCAGCAGUGGGGAAUAGUGGACAAUGGGCGGAAGCCUGAUCCAGCCAUACCGAGUGGGUGUAGAAGGCCUUCGGGUUGGAAAGCCCUUUUGUUGGGAAAGAAAAGCAGCAGGUUAAUACCCCGCUGUUCUGACGGUACCCAAAGAAUAAGCACCGGCUAACUUCGUG
rnacentral:rRNA from 1 species